rnacentral:rRNA from 1 species
UCCGUAGGCGGAUUGAUAAGUCAGAGGUGAAAUCCCACAGCUUAACUGUGGAACUGCCUUUGAAACUGUUAGUCUUGAGUUAUAUGGAAGUAGAUAGAAUGUGUAGUGUAGCGGUGAAAUGCAUAGAGAUUACACAGGAUACCGAUUGCGAAGGCAGUCUACUACGUAUAUACUGACGCUAAUGGACGAAAGCGUGGGGAGCGAACAGGAUUAGAUACCCUGGUAGUCC